rnacentral:SRP_RNA from 1 species
UUGGGAGCUAGACUGGCAGGUUAGCGUUCUGUUGUCACCGUCAAUACGCUUUAGGCGGAGUUGAAGCCCAUGGAAGGAUUAGUUUUGUUUUAACUGUCCUUGUUGUCUUUGUCGACGACUUGUCCUGCGGGAUGGACUUGUUCAGAAUCAGGUCAGAUCCUGGCGGAAGCAGCCUUUAUGCUCAAUCUUCAUGUUCGCAGGGUUGCAAGUCUGAGAAGCUACGAGGAUUCAACAGUUGAGGCUUAGUUAAUACGACCGUGGGGUGCUCCUAU